GGCACAGAGAGCUGCAGCAGAGGCAGUGGAACUGAGCUGUCUGUACAGCUGAGAAAGGCUCCUGAGCAUGUCUCCUGUUUUAUUAUGAUUCAAGCAUACAGGUACUGGAAACACUAUCUAAAAAAUUCAACAAUAUUUAACUUCAGUGGAGGACUGAUCUAAAGACUAGUGCUUCUGGAAGAAACCUGCAGAUAAAAAUGUCAACAACUUAACUAACUAUUCUCCAUUUUGGUGUCUUUGCAGCAUACUCAUUGAAGGGCAUCCAACCACCUGCCUUCUGCAGGAAGAAAGUCAAAGGAACUGGGUUCAGAGGAUGCUGGGGAAGGGAAAAAGUGAGAGCACAGCAGUGAAAACCAGCUGAGUACUCCUUAAUCCUGUUUUAGCUGGCACAAAAGCAAGAAAGAGGACAUUACUCAAGACACCUCUGCCUCUCAGCUCUUAUUCUCUUCUGCAAACCAGCUAUUAAAGAAAUGAGUGAAAAAGAUUGUGAAGAACUCAUAAGGGAGAAAACAAUUUUUUGAGAAGUAAAUUUAAAACAGAGGAGAGCUAAGGGAACUUCAAGGAGGGAAGAAGGGGAACAAACAUAUGUUUAUGGAGAUACCAGGAGAUUUAAAGGUUGAUGAAGUACUUAUGUAUAAAUCUGAAGGGGACAUAGAGAAUAGCAUAAUAAAAUGUGACAAUAUUACUGGAGAAGGUACUAGGAAAAGAUGGAAAAAGGAACAGGGCUUAGGAAUUCUAUAAAGAAGCUAUAAAUAAUAAUGUGAGAAUCAUCUCAAAUUUUAGAUAUCUAAAGAUAAAAAUCUGAGUGCAAGCUUGUCAGUUUUUACUGUAGGGAAAAAAAUCAGUACACAGGCACUAUGAAUGAUGGGUGUAAAAUUUACCUUAGAUACCUAAGGAACCCAGAGGACAUGACCCCUAGAGAGGUUUCUUUCUAUUUGAUAUAAGAGGACUUUGGUAGAAGCCAAACUUCAGAAAAGAAUCCCAAGCCUACAGGAAGGAGACUAAGAAAGUGAAGACAAAUGUUUUAACUGAGUGAGAACCAGACUCAGGCAAGUGAAGGUAGAAGUAGAGAGGAGACAAACCACUGGACAAAUCACACAAGUGUGCAGAGACAGAAAAAGUUAAUGGAGGAAUGAAACAUUUGAGGAGCAGAGAUCUAAUACAAGUUGGUUUCAUUCAACUUUUGAGUAUGCAGUAAAAUAAAGAAAGUUUGACCUCUGAGAUCAUAGCCUUUAUACUUGGAAAUAUAGUGCUCCUUUGGUUGUAGUCUGACAACAGUAUGUGCAUAAAAGCAGUUUUUCGUUUUCAGAAGAUGAACAUCUAACAGUGUGGGACUGGAAGUUCAGGAAAAUCCACCAACCCCUGCACCCUGUAGCCUCAGGCUUAGCAAGACUGUACUCCAAAAAAAUCCUCCUUUUCCACCUCCUUUCCAGAACAGUGUAAAGCUACAAAAUACUCUGAGAGGAAAAAUUAAAACUCUCCAUACAAAAGACAGUAAAAGUCUACAAAACUCAUUAUGCUGCACACAGAGACUACAGGCAUUGGCAAGACAGGAUACAUAAAAUGCCUACAUGGUUCCUUUGAGAAAUACACUUCACAUUACAAAGAAAACAAACCUUUCUCAUUCAUAUAGAGGUCUCCAACAAUAAGGCAUUAGGAAAACGUGUCUUGACUUCAAAAGGGGUGUCCAGGCUAUCCUUGAGUUUUAGUGAGAAGUAUCUGAGCAGUGUUUGUCAGUGCAAUGAGGACCAUCAGCAUUUCCCAAGACAUGAUUAAGCUCUGAAACUUCAGACAAAAGCCCUGUCCCCAAACAACCUGCCUUGAAAAGUCAAAGUAAUUCUGGCCUUUUCAGGUGACUAAUGGAUGACAUGAAACAUGGGAUUAAUUAAAUACACCAUAAAUUCAGAACAACAGAUACAAACAAUAAACUGUGAUCUUGUCUGCUUUCAACUUCCUCUUGGCAAUACCAACAAAUCAAAUAUCCAAAGGUUAAUAUCACAUACUUUAUUUUCAAGACAACAGCAUGGAAAAUGGGCAGUCACAGGAAAAGUAAACUUGAUAUGAUUAAAGAAAUGUUAUGACCUUUGUGAGAUUUUGAGGACUGCUGAGCAGCCUGCAAGUUAAUGUGACAGAUGAGAGAGAUUGGUGUUUGUUUACAGCAUGUCUAAAGGCAAUAAAAGAACCUACAGAGGAAGAAAGUAACAAAGAACAAUUCUCCGCAGCUGAGUGCCCCUUCCCUGAGUCUGCUUCCCUGUUUUCAAGGGAGAGAAAAUGCAAUGCAUCCAUGCUCUGAGCCCCUGAGUCAUGUAUUUAUAAUUUAUUAAGAGGUCAAAAGUGGCAUUUGCAAGGUCUCGGUGUUCAAAACUUCUUGAAUUGCUCUAAGAAUUGAGACUCUGUUUAAAUUCAAUAACUAGAGCUUAUUGAACGCAUCCAUUAUGACAGGAAGUUCACCUGCAGCAAAACUACAAAUUCCUACCCCGUCUGUGCUGCACGUUGUUCAAGACCCAGGAACAGAUUCUUUGCAAGGAGCUUCAGCAUUACACAUUUCAGGUCAGUCAUACCAGGAGACAUAAACUCAGAGAAUGCACUUAAAUGCACUUUGACCCAGUUUUCUCUUUUUCUCUCUUUCCUUAUAUCCACGUACAGUAUUCUAAACAGGCUUUGCCAAAAUAUGAAGUACUUUGCAUGCCUUUUGUGUUUGACUGGUCUUCUUAGAUUAAAAUAAAAGCUUAA